rnacentral:rRNA from 1 species
CCUCGGCGGCAGCAGUGGGGAAUAUUGGACAAUGGGCGAAAGCCUGAUCCAGCCAUGCCGCGUGUGUGAAGAAGGCCUUCGGGUUGUAAAGCACUUUCAGUGGGGAAGAAAGCCUUGGGGCUAAUACCCUCGAGGAAGGACAUCACCCACAGAAGAAGCACCGGCUAACUCCGUGCCAGCAGCCGCGGUAAUACGGAGGGUGCGAGCGUUAAUCGGAAUUACUGGGCGUAAAGCGCGCGUAGGCGGUCUGAUAAGCCGGUUGUGAAAGCCCCGGGCUCAACCUGGGAACGGCAUCCGGAACUGUCAGGCUAGAGUGCAGGAGAGGAAGGUAGAAUUCCCGGUGUAGCGGUGAAAUGCGUAGAGAUCGGGAGGAAUACCAGUGGCGAAGGCGGCCUUCUGGACUGACACUGACGCUGAGGUGCGAAAGCGUGGGUAGCAAACAGGAUUAGAUACCCAGUAGUC